GUGCUCAGUCCUGAGGAGAAACAAGCAGUUGUCUUAGUAGCAGGAACUGGAGAGCGGAGAAUAAAGAGGACUGGAUUCUAGGGAAAGCCCGGGAGAUUCCGCCAGGCCCCUCCCAAGAGACAGAACAGGGGUAGGCUCUUUUUACCUUUAUUUUUCUAGAUGCUUCAACCCACCUUCCCCAAAUUUUCUUUUUCACUUAAAUUUAAAAUACUUGUUUUUUGGUAAAAAUUAAAAUAAUAAUAUAAAGAUAAAUCAGCUCAAGGUAACUUUUGUUCACAUUUUGAUGUAUACUCUUUAUCAUUUUUUUUUUAAACAAAAUGGAGGUAAUACUAUGUUUUAAACCUGCCCUUUACACUUAAAGUAUGUUGUGACCUUAUAUCUAAACAUUAUUCUUUUACAGCAUGAUUUUAGAGACAUCCAAAUAUACAAUAACUUUAAAAAGAAAGUUCUGUUGUUAACCAUCUAAGUUGUUUCAAGUUUUCACUGUUAGAAAAACCAGCAAAACCAAACCUGCUGCUGUCAAGUUGAUGCUGACUCACAGUGACCCUAUAGGACACGGCGGAAAUGCCCCAUGGGGCUUGCACGGAACAGCUGGUGGAUUCAAACUGCCAACCUUUUGGUUAGAAGCUGAACUCUUAAUCACUGCACCACCAGGGCUCCACUUCACCGUUAGAAACAACCCUCAAUUUAUUUAUUACAUAUUUUAGGUAACUAGUUUAACAGAUUCUUGAAAACGUGUGUUUCUAACUUUGUGAAUUUCCUGAUUCACUUUUUAAAUUCAUUUUUCUAUAGGUGUGGUUCUUUUCAUUUUGUCCUUGAAAGAGGUCUCUGAAUAUUAAGGAAUGACCAUUUUAACUAUUUUUAUUAUCUGCCUUCUAAUUUGUGUACUGAAUUUUUUGAAGUUCAUAACUCAGAAAUUUCAGGUUUUCAAGACCAACCAUUUUGUUUAUGAUGUCUUCCUUUGUUUUUAUGCUUAGGGCAGCUUUCUCUAAUCCUAGACAAGAUAGUUUUUGUUUUUUAUUUUCUUUCUUGUUUUAUGUAUUUAUUUUUAAAAAAUUUAACUCUGUGAUCAUUCUGGAACUUAUUCUGGUGUACAGUGGGACAUAAGGAAAACAACUAAAGGUAAAAAUAAAGUAAAUAAGUAAGACAGGAAUUCCCCACGGGAAACCACACCCCCCCGCCCCCACCCAAGGAAGGAAAGUCCAUUACCGCAUCAGCAAUAUCAUGGGUCUAAAGAAAGGGAGGAGCCCUGGUGACGCAGUAGUUAAGAGCUGGGCUGCUAACCGCAAGGUCGGCAGUUCAAAUCCACCAGCUGCUCCGUGGAAAUCCUAUGGGGCAGCUCUAACUCUGUUCUGUAGGGUUGCUAUGAGUUGGAAUUGACUCGAUGGUACAUAACAACAACAAAGGAAAGGCAGGAGCCCUGGUGGUGCAGUGGUUAUGUGCCCGGCUGCUCCCGCAAAGAUUACAGCCUCGGAAACCCUACAGGGCAGUUCUACUCUGUCCUAUAGGGUCUCUAUGAGUCAGAAUCGACUCAACAGCAAUGAAGGGAAAGAGCCCUGGUGGCACAAUGGUUAAGUGCUUGGACGCUAACUGACAGGUGGGAGGUUUGAACCCACCAGUGGCUCCACUCUGCGAGAGCAAAGACCUGGUGAUCUACUCCUAUAAAGACUGCAGCCUAGGAAACUCUAUCAUAAAGGGCCACUAUGAGCUGAAAUCUAACAACAACAAAGGAAGGGGAAGUCGUGAUGAAAACCAGGAUGGGGUCUAAUGGCCAAACCAACCCUGGGCCACCUCUGAUGCCUAUGGUUUCAAGCAACUCUUGGCAGUUGAAGGGGAACCAGGGAGGCGUCCUGGGUGCCACCAAUGAACACAAGAAGGCGGCAUGGACGACGGGGAGAGGCCUGGGCCUGAACUCAAUUAGGAGGGAGGUUCCAGAGAGCUAGCAUCCAGCUGUCAGUGCUGCCUGGGGAGUGGCACCCAUCAGGCUAGAGAAGAGCAGUCUGCCCGCCUGUUCUGGGGCCUCAGACUGGUGGCAGGUGAAUCCUGAGGAACACUGAAGCAAAAACCAUCAAUUCCUUGUCUUAAAAGCUGUUAAUUGCACAUAGGACUUUCACCCCAGAGAAAAUGGAGUUAAUGGCCAGCCCAGAGGGCUUGCUACCAUGUGGUGCCCAGCUACAAAGAGGCAGCCAUCGCUGUACUCCGGCAGUGGGAAGGCUGACACUCUUCUAACCUGAGGCUCCUGGUGCCCCCAGCUCUCUGGCCACUUCUCCACCCUUGGAGCUAACAUUUCCUGAGGGAUCAUUGCAUCACACACUGGAUAGGCCCUUCCACACUUCCACACAUUCACUCAAUUAUUUAGCAAAUGAAUGAUGAUGCUGUUUACUCUUCAAGACCUCUGGUCAGGAGCUACUGAUAAGCAAAGCAAGGUUUAGGAAGCCCAAGUACCUGAUAGAAGGAGGUGGGCCUGUCUGAUUCCGGAGCUUCCUCUUCCGUCUCCAUGCUGUUCCAGAAGACAUGCCCAGCCCAGGCUUAGGCGGCUCAACAUUAACCCACCAAGAUGGGUCCAGACUGAAGUCUUUCCCCAUGAAGCAACGCCACACAUUAGGCAACUGAUGGCCCUCAGCAUUCUGGGUGGCGUCUGAGAUGGCACCUCCCUUAUUCUGUUAACUCCAGAGGGAUAGGCCCUGUUCACCACCCCUAGUUAGCAAUUUUGCAAUAGCCUCUUUCCUCAGUGCCUUUUCUGAACUGUUCCCAGACACAUGUGAACGCUCAACCUGGCUCGUCUCUCAGGUAACAUAGAUCACGUGCUUAUGCUGCACAGAACGGCUUCGAGAAACCACCAUGUUCUGGCAGGUGCUGGGUAUGCAGCAGAAGACUCAAAUCUUUACUCCCUUGACGCAAAAAGCAACUCUUUUCCAAGGACUCUUCCCUUUCCCUGAGUAUCGGCCCUCUCUAAUGCGGAGAAACCGAUGACACUAAUGGCAGGGCUGAAAACUGCUCAGCAGCCUGGCUUUAUCAACAGUGAAGGAUCUGGGAGCCUCAGGCCAUCCAUCAUCUGACACCCUAACCCAGGUGCAGACAGGAUUCCUCUGCAUUGUCCCCCAGUGAAGAAGCACUGGUGGCACAGUGGUCAAGUGCUCGGCUCCGAACUGCAAGGUCAGAGGUUUGAACCCACCAGCCGCUCUGCAGUCUGCUCCCAUAAAGAUGACAGCCUUGGAAACCCUAUGGGGCAGUUCUGCUCUGGCAAUGAGUCAGAGUGGAUUCCACGGCAACAGGCUAAUGGGUCUCCUGAAGGCCACCUAGCCCAGCAUCAGGGGGCUGAAAACGAGUUGUCUGCAAGCAAUCAGGGGUGCGGCCUGCGGAAACCUGAUGAGAUGGAUGCCCACAAAAUGGAAGCGUGUGAAAGGGAGCACGAGGCCAGCUCCUGAGCACCAAUUAAUCGCCAAGCUAGUAUUUCCUGUAAUCUGGACACAGGGUUUAUUUUACGGAACCCCAUUUUAAAUGGCAAUUCUGUUGCUGUCCUACCCAACACGGCGGCAUAGUUUAGGAAAGGUAUCAUUUGCUUGCCCAGCACAAUCCAUCACAGCCACUAAUUACACACCAACUCAAAAACAAAACCGAAAGCCCAAGAGCAGCCUGCAUCCUCAGGGAGCAGAGGGCGGGCCUCCCAGGUGAGAACAGGACACCUGGCGGCAGGGGCAGCUGGCCGAGCAGGCAGGGUGGGGUCCUGGGGCGGUCCACCACAGGGGCACCCAUGGGCCUGCCUGCUCAAACUCUGCGGAGGACUCGGGAUCAAGCCUGCCAGCAGAAAGCAGCAAGCGUCCUUACCAACAGCGAUCCCUGCCAUGCCCCAGGCCUCCAGCCGAGACAGCCACGACUGCAUCUCAGAGAGUGCCCCUGAGUACCGGAAACCUCCAAGGCUGACCACCAUGGCAGGGCUCGGCUACCCGCCUUCUGCCUGGCUUGCUUGCUUUUUAUCUUUUUUUUUUAAAAGCCCUACUGAUUUCAGAUCUCUUCUGUUAAAAUUAAUUUUUGGAACUAGAACAAGAAAAAAGUUCUGGAUGCUACCUUCAAAUAGCCUAACUGCCAUGUAGAACAGUUUUGUUCUCAAUGGCUCUAGGGAACAGAACUAUGACUAAGAAUGAAAAUUACAGGAUGGCAAAUAGUCUCUCAAUAUAUAAAAUGACCGUUACUAGCUACGUCUGCCAUUCAUUGGAAUGGGCUAGAGUUUUGAACUCUCUUCUCACCAGAUAUCCACCUGUUUGGGAUGCUGUUUAAAAAGAUUAGUAUUUGGUCUAGCAAGAUAGCUGACAACAACGAUGAUGAUAAAGCACUUACUGAAUGUUUACAAUAUGUGAGGCACACCAUGCUAAAUGCUUACCAAGUAAUUUUACUUUAAAAAACCAAACCUGUUGCUGUUGAGUUGAUUUCAACUCAUAGCGACCCUAAAGGACAGAGGAGAACUGCCUCAUGGGGAUUCCAAGGAGUGGCUAGCGGAUUCAAACUGCCAACCUUUUAGUUAGCAGCUGAGUUCUUAACCACUGAGGAACCAGGGCUCCAUUUUUACAUUAGUUCUCAUGAUAACCCCUUAAGACAGGCUAUGAGUAACCCCAUUUUACAGAUGUUAAUGCUGAGGCUGACAGGUAAAAGUGACACACACAAGGUCAGACAGGAGUUGCACAGACGUGAUUUGACCCCAUCUGAUUCUAGAGCCUGUGUUCUUUCACUGUUGUUGUUAGGUGCCUUUGAGUCAAUUCCAACUGAAAGUGACCUUAUGCACAACAGAACGAAAAGUUGCCGGGUCCUGCGCCAUCCUCACAAUGUUUGAGAUCACUGUCACAGUCACUGUGUCAAUCCACCUCAUUGAGGGGUCUUCCUCUUUUUUGCUGACCCUCUACUUUACCAAGCAUGAUGUCCUCCUCCAGGGAUUGGUCCCUCUUGACAACAUGGCCAAAGUAAGUGAGACAAAGUCUUGCCGUCCUUGCUUCUACGGACGGCUAUGAGUUGGAACUGACUUGACGGCAAAGGGUUCUUUUACUACUAUGUUCUAAAUCACUAGCUCUCGAAUCAAAACUGAGCCUGCAUCAGAAUCACCUGGAGGGCUUGUUAGUAUAAUUCAGCUGGCAGGGCUCUACCCUCCCGGAGUUCUGGAUUCAGUCUGUCUGGAGUGGGGCCCAAGAAUCUGCAUUUUAAGCAUGUUUCCAGGUGAUGCUAGUCGGGGACCCACACUUUAAGAACCCCCAUUUCAGGAGACAGCCCAGGCUUCUAAGGGCUCUCUGACUCCCAAAUUCCAUGAUUCAAUGAAAUCUGCGAGGGAUACGGCAGGAAAAAUGGACACCAGCUACUUUAGGAACAAGGCAUUCCCAACAGGAUUAGAAGGAGCUGCCUGUAAGGAGUGGGGCUGGGGUGGGAGCGGGCCAGAAAGUGCUCCUUCUCACAGGCAAGCCCCAGCGCAUUACUUAAAAUUUGUGAUGGCCGUGUAUGACUUUCGUAUAGAUUUUUAAAAAUUGUAAAGGAAAAAAAUCAAAGAUGCCUUAUUCUUCCUCUCAGUGACUAUUUUCUGAGCACCACAGGGCAGGUAAGCGCCUUCACAGAGCUUUCAGUCUUGGUCUCCAAAAACUACUAGUUGACAUCAGAAGGCUGGAUGGCCCAGUGAUGUGUGCCAGUGCCGCACUCCUUGAAGGCUGAGAACUGGCACAUUCUGCCCCUUUGGCUUCUCCAUCAGUGCUGCCGCUGCUGACCUAAGCUCCUGAGAGAUGCCCUCGACCUUGGCAGGCAGUCCCUCGGAAGCUGGGAGGGUGACCUGCAGGAGCUUGGAAACCAGGGGGAAAUCAUCUCCUGCCCUGCUAUGUGAAAAUGUGGCUGAGGUUCUUACUCCCAGAUCCCAGGCAACCACCUCUCCACCCAGUGUUCCUGCCCAGAAGCCUUUGUCUCCCCGUGGCUGCCCUGGGUCAGGCUUUGCCUGUGCUUUCGCUCAGGGCUCAGUUCCUCCUGAGUUUCCUUUCUAGCAGCAAAUCAAGACUUCCUCCAAGACAAACGCUGAUUUGCUUAUUUUUUACUUUCUAUAUUUAGUUAUAAAAACUCAGCACUUUUGUCCUUUAAAAAAAUCUUAACUGGUGCUGUUAGUGCUCUCACACACCCUGCACCAGACAGGGCUUAGCUACGGGACAAUUUCUGUCAACUGCCUUUCGGGAGACAGAAAAUGCUUCUAAAAGACCACUGCCCUCCCUCUUUCAUUACCAAGAGACAAGGAAAUGGAGGCUCCAAGAGGCUAUGCCACUUGCCCAAGGCUGCAGAGGGUGGUGGCAAAGAAGAGACAGUCGCUGCCCUCAAGUUCCUCACAGGUGAGUGGGGUAAAGAACCAACUACUGGCAAAGACCAGGCAGAGGGAUGGGUUGACCUCAGAGUUAGGCAGAGGAGCCUCUCCUGGCUCUCCCUGCACCGACACCUUAGCUAGCCUUGGGCACGUGGCAGGGGGAGUACGGAGGCGGUGUUACGGCGAAGUCCUGAAAAUGGAGAGGACAGGCAGAAAAAUCACCAUGGAUAGAAACUCAGAGGCAGAAUCCAGACCAGGAGUACUUGUGGUAGACAGAUUCAACAAUGGCAUGCACAGAUGUCCUUCCGAGGGCUGCUUCUCUCAGCUUAUGACAACACUGACAAGACCAAUUCACUCGCAGUCACUCAGCACAGGGUGGUCAAGCUCUCGGUCUCAGGCCCCGGAAGGAAGAGCGUGUCCUCUGCUUGUCUGUCUGCUGUGGCUCAGACCCAGUCCCGAUGUAAGCGUUCACUCAAGAGUCACUGAGGCUCUAGCACUGUCCCCACUCAGCCCUGUGUCCCCACAGCUGACGCCAGCCUUACACAGGGGCAUGAGAGAGACCAGAGAAAUCACGAGGCACCAAGGCAGGUCUCCUCUCUAAGGAGCCUCCUCCUAAUAAAUACGGGCCUCUAGGGACUCAGUAAAACAUGUCUCCAUUAACCCUUCAUUUAUUAUUAUUAUUCAGCUUUGUUAAACUAUUAAUCCACAUACCAGAUAAUUCACUCAUUUAUUUAAAGUGACAAUUCAAUAGCUUCUAGUAUAUUCACAGAUUUGUAUAACCAUCACCACAAUCAACUUCAGAACAUUUUCAUCACCCCAAAAGGACUCCGCACCCAUUAGCAACCCCUCCUCCUCAUUCCUCCUGCCCAGCCCCUGGCAAUCUACUUUCUGUCUCUAUGGAUCUGCCUGUUCCAGACAUUUCAUAUAAAUGGAACCAUACAGUAUGUGGUUGUGACUGGUUUCUCUCACCAACAUCAUGUUUUCAAGGUCCAUCUAUGUCACAGCAUGGGUCAAGAUGUCAUUCCUUUUUAUGUCUGAAUAAUAUGCCAUUAAGGAGCCCUGGUGGCACAGCUGUUAAGUGCUCAGCUGCCAACCAAAAGGUUGGCAGCUUGAACUCAUCAGUUGCUCAGUGGGAGAAGGAUGUGGUAGUCUGCUUGUGUAAAGAUUUAUAGCUUGGAAACCCUAUGGGGCAGUGCUACUCUGUUCUAUAGGGUCGCUAUAAGUUGGAUUGACUCGACGGAAACAGGUAUCUGGUUUUUGGAUCACAAUUUAUUUAUCCAUUCAGCAGGUGAUAGAAAUUUGGAUUGUUGCAUUUUUUGGCUAUUAUGCAUAAUGCUGCCUCCAUAUUAUUUUGAACCCUAAAUUCUAAAGUGAUUUACGUAUAUUUCUUUAAACUCGAUAAAGACAUUUGAAUCCUCACGGUCAGCCCCACUCUUGUGAUGCAGCAUUUCCUAGUAGCUCGCUGGCCUGAUUCACUCUCUUCGCGCACCCACUCUGUGGACUCAUGGCUCCUUUCUUCCAAGACUGUCUAUUUAAACAGCCUACAUUAAAAGUUUCUUGCUCAAUCACUAGACUGUUAGCAAUGCACCUCUACUCCGCACACUCAAAGCACAGGGACACUUGUUCCUACCCAGAUGCUGCAACCUUGUUCAUGACGACAGGCAUCAUCUUAUGCCUCCUUUUCUGUGUACACAGUUCCCCGUGCCCUCUGCUGAAUGAAGCUGUUAAGGGAAGAGGAGGUCUUUUGACUGUCUCUACACCACCCAGUCAUUCCUGGUCAUUUAUUACAGCCCUAGGCUUGAAGCAUACAAUGAUGGUGACCCGGUCCUUUCCCUCAAGGGACUAAGGGUUGAUUGAGGAAGGAGGACAAUCGGAGUCCAGCGUGAGAAGCGCUCCCAGAGGCUGCAAAGGGCGCUACGGAACAAGCACAGGGUAGGGGCCCUGGUGAAGAAGGCACAUCAGAGGGGGACUCCUGGAGAAGACCCCUGAAAUGGGUGAGAAAGACCAGGAAUGCUUAAGGAACUGGCUGAAGUUGUGAGUGGAUGAAGGGAAUGGCAGUGGUGAGGGUGGACAGGUGGCCUGGGGCCAGGUCUCUGGCAGUAGCACUACACCUUGUCUUGGAAGUGAUGGUGCGUCACGGAAGAAUUUUAAACAAGGGAAGGUGGUGUGAUCACAUUUAUUUUAGAAAGACUUUUGCAGCAGUGUGGACAAUGUUGUGAAAGGACAUGAGACCAGAAGCAGAAAGACCAAUUACUAAGAGGCUAUGACAGUAAACCAGGAAGAGGCUAAUUAGAGCCUAAAUGCUGGGGUGGGGGACAAGUUCAAGACACACUCAGGUGUGAAAACAAGAGACUGACUGACUAGGCUGACCGGCACAGGAAGGGAACACAGGAGAAACACACGAGAGCUGCAUGCUCGCAGAGUCAGCAAAUCCCUCAGGUGAAAACCUUCAAAAAACCCACUUUCCCACGGAUACAGCAAGGGUUGACAAGUUCUCUCACAAGCAGCAAAAUCCCUUUUCCAAGUGAAAUCUUAAGUUGAACCUUAACAGUGAAGGACCCAGAGGCCUGUUGGCUGCUCUCCCCCUCCUUACCCAGAAGCACUUCCUUAGGAUCUUAGGGAUCUAAGAAAAGGAAUCAGAAAACCACUGGCCAAAUCCAAAUACCUGAAAGCCUGACAUGUGGAGAAUUCUAGUGCAACACAACUCUCCUCAUCGCAACACCUGACAUUCAGUCUCCGAUCCCACCUAGAAGAUUCUUUCCCAUUCUCUCUGUGUUACAGAAUCCAACUUAUCUUUCAGGCUGAGCCCUGCCCCAGACAUGCACCAAGCCAGCUCAACGGGUCUUCUUUUUUGCUGACUUCUAUGGCACCUAAUGCCUAUAGCCUCAGGUGCACCAUCCCAAAUUCAGAGGGUUAGUGAAAGUCAGGUGGAACUUCCAAAUCGUUUUGUCACAGCUUUUCAGUAGGGGUUGACCUAUGUGGAAAGGAAGGCUUAAAGAAAGAUGCUGCCUGCUAAGGCUCCCGAAAUAAAUUAAAAACCGAAUUUUCUAUUUUUAUCAAUCUCAUCACCUAUGAUAUGGUAUAAAAUAUGGUGGCAUUUGGGAAAUACAGUAUCACAGUAAUAAAUCAUUACUGAAAGCAUACUACAUGAGGUGACUGCAUACUAUGUCCCACGGGGGAAUACAAAAUUAACAGCACUGCCGCGUCCUUUAAGGAGGUAAGACCUUAUUGAGGGAGAAAAGUUGAAGAUGUGAAAAAUUAAACCACAGUUAGAUAUUAAAAGAUCGGCCACAAGGUAGGACAUGCUGAUCGCUGAAUGGAGUACAUGGACAGUCACUGGCACAGAAGUCCAGGAGGGAGGGCGAGGUCACCUCAAGUAAGGAUCGGCCAUCAGUGGAGAAGCACGAUUUAAACAGGUGGGUUUGCUGAGGCCAGAGUGGAGGAGGGAUGGCUUAGAGUGUGAAUGUCAUGAGGGGGCUAAGGGGCUUGGAGUGUGAGGUCAAACUGAGACUUUUCUGCUGAUGGUCCUCUCUGGCUCACAAGAAGGACUUUCCAAUUUAGUGCCUCUCCAACCAGGCCUAGUGUCUUCCCCCAGCACUGCACUGACCAGUGGCACCUUAGAAUUGAUCUGAAGUUUCUCUUAAAACUUCCUCUGUGUGUCAGCAAUGUUUCAGAGGAGGCCAGCCUGGACUUCACAUGCAAACCUGAAGUUUACCGAAGUCUCCUGGUCUUGUGAGGACAAGGAACUGCCCAUGCCAGUGAGGCUGUCUAGUAGCAGAGGCUGGCUCUGUAACUCACCCAUUACCACUGGGUCCUGGUCCAACAGCUGCACGCCCUGAUGUGCUGCCAGCAAGCGCUCCGAACACAUUUUCAUCUCCAAUCAAAGGCAAGAGUUUCUAAGCACAGGAAAUGCUCAAACGUCAAACUUGGCUUUCAUGCACACACUUCUAGAUAGAGCCUCCACAGCCAAGGAAAGGAACCUAGGGUGGGGGAAAACUCCCACCUCAGAGACACACCCCAGGAAAAUAAGUCCCUGCAAUUCACCACUCCACCACCCUCCUCAAAGCAGGCCCAGGAAAGACAAAAAAAGUUGUUUUUCUCUCCACUUGGAGUAAAUAAUUUUACUAAGAUCCAAUUAUCGGAAAGAGGGACUGGCCUGAAAACAAUUAGGAAGGCUGAAGACAUUAGGUUGCAAUGAGAAGGGUCACAUAAAGAAAUCAUGAAGAGAGGCUAGCUGGAAGACGAAUGAGCUGUACUUUUUUCUCACCAUAAACCUUCCCGAGCUUGUCUCUCUCUGAGGUGUCAGGCCGUACACUAGGAUUUCUUUCUCAGUCCUCCAAAUAUAAGGGUAUAAGCUGUAAAAGCAUAAACUGACAUUUGACACAUCAGCUGGGUCUCAGACACACCAUUAUUCUUCAAGGGCCUCAAGGUGAGAGACACUGUCACAAAUUCACAGCCUUCCAAAGUGCCAACAGCACCACCAGGCCAACCCUGGCAAGGCAGGCCAGGGCUCUGGCACCCAGCACUCGGCUCUCAGGAAACCUCAGCUGCAUGUGGCAGGGUCUUAUCUGUAAGGGAAAGUGUCAGACUAUUUACCGCAGUAUCAUACACAUUCAGAAAAGUUGACAGAAGUGAACCACGAUAAGUUUUCACACACUGAAGACACCCAUGUGAACAAGACACAGAUCAAGAUACAGAACACUCCCAGCCUUCCAGAAGCCCGCUCAUGCCCCCUCCCAGUCUCCACCCCUCCCCAAGAUAACCACCAUCUUGAUCUCUAACAACAAAGGAGCCCAGGAGAACACACUCUGGAAACACCUGCUGUCCUUCCAGAUGUUUUCCAUCAAGUCACAAACAGACACACACACAGGUUUUCUCCACCCACAUAAAUGGGACCAUACCACAUACAUGUUGGAAUCCAUCCAGCAGCGUGGAAGAAAAGCCUGGUGACCUGCUACUGUAAAGAUUAUAGCAGUCAAGAAAACCCUAUGGAGCACAGUUCUAGCCUAUAAUAUAAUCGACUCCACUGCAAAGGUUUUUUUUUUUUUAAAUAACUCUGCUGUAGGGAUGUACUCUUCUGUUAAUGAACAGACAUUUCUGUACAGACCUUUGUGGGCAUAUCCAUUUCCACAGGACAAAUUCCCAGAAGGGCCAAUGGCUAGGACCAAGUGUCUAAGGGGUUUACAUUUUUACCAAAUAUUGUCAAAUUCUCUUUUUAAAUGGCUACUGUGUUUAUUUAUGUUCCUACCAACAGUACAUGAGUACCCCAAUUUCCAAACACUUUGUCUGUGACUAUUUUUAACAACAAGAACAAAAAAGCUUUAAAGAGGAGAUUAACAUCUAAAGACCUAGCAAAGGUUUCCAGUCUUGAGACUAGAAGGACCCCAGUGGUCAUGGCCCCCAGACCUUCUGUUAGCCCAGGAUGGGAACCAUGCCCAAAGUCAACUCUUCAGACAGGGAUUGGACUGGACAAUGGGACAGAAAAAGAUGCUGGUGAAGAAUGAACUUCUUGGAUCAAGUAGACACAUGAGAUUAUGUUGGCAUCUCCUAUCUGGAGGGCAGAUGAGAGGGCAGGGGGGUCAGAAGCUGGCAGAAUGGACACGAAAAGAGAGAGUAGAGGGAAGGAGCAGACUGUCUCAUUAGGGGGAGAGCAAUUAAGAGUACAUAGCAAGGUGUAUAUAAAUUUUUGUAUGAGACACUGACUUGCCAGAUUAUAAACUUUCACUUAAAGCACAAUAAAAAUUAAAAAAAAAAAAAAAAGGUUUCUCGUCUCGAGUUGAACCUAUUUUAAAAGGUGGUCUCCCACAGCCAAGUUUACCUAGAAGGCCAAAAAAGUGACUUAUUGCCAUGCGUUUGUUCCCUGCCCACAAAGAAUGCUGGCUCUGGACAUGUGAUCAGACACAAUAAAGCCAAGAGGACAGCGGGCUGCCAUGGUCCACGCUACCGUGGGUAAGAAGAGAACAGCUCAUGUGGCCACAAAUCACUCUCAUCUGCCACAUCUUUCCUUCCAUUUUUAACUACUCCAUUAUAGCCUGGUCCCCAGCUCCAAGGAAAAGCCAAAUCUUUUCACAGUCAGCAUUUCUAAGCAUAGACAACCAGGGCUGCUUGCUCCAGGAAGGUGGGCAGGCUUUUAAGCCAGAAGGGUGCUUGUAGAUGAGCUAGUCUAAGCCUCCCAUUUUAAAGUUGGCUUUAUGGUAUAAAUGAAUAAAGGCCAGGGUCUGAGCUUUAGUAUUAGACAGGUAACACUGGAGCUGAAUCUGCAACUCAUUAGUUAAGUCUCCUUAGAGGCAAUGAUUUAAUUUUCCUCAAUACCAGCUCCUUGUCUUUAAAAUACGAAAACAGCAGUCUCUACUUAAUAGGACUGUUUGGGGGGAUUAAGUAAGAUCACGUAGAAAAGAGAAGAGAAAAAAGGACAUUUUCCCACUGUGAUAUCACCCAGUAAGCUAUAUGCAGAGCUUGUCACAGACAUUCCAGCCCAGUGGUAUGCUGAAAGAAAAAUGUACAAAUCCAAACACUAGAUAUUCUAAAUAGAACACUUGCUAGCCUGGCUGAAACAACUGACAGGUGGCUGCAGUAAUCAUUAGUGCUUCUCACCAACACCCACUCUCCUUUCCUGGGAACAAAAGAGAAUGAACUACCUGGCCCCCUUGGGGUUGGAUGAAGCCAUGUGACUAGUUCUGCCCAGUGAUGUGAGAGGAGGCGAGGUCAGGCUGAAGCAGGUCUUUGGUGGAAUGAGUUCCUCCAGAGGUCUCUGUCCUGCUGUACCAGCAUCAGUCAACAGGGUGGCAGCUCCAUCAGCUGGAUCCCUAAGUGAGCACAACGUGGAGCAGAGUCCCCAGCACAAACACUGAGGGUGAGAAAGAAAUCUUUGCUGUUUUAAGCCACUGAGAUCUUAACCAAGGCUAACCUGACUGACACCAUGGUCAACAAGAGAAGUUUAACUAAGGAACCAAAUCAAACCCACCGCCAAUGAGUUGAUUCCGACUCACAGCCACGCUAUAGGACGGUAGAACUGCCCUAUAGGGUUUCCAAGGCUGUAAUCUUUACACAAGCAGACUGCCACAUCUUUUUCCCAUGGAGCCACUGGUAGGUUCAAAAUGCUGACCUAUUGCUUAGCAGUUGAGUCCUUAACCACUGCACCACCAGGGCUCCUUUAACUAAGGAAAGUAUAGUAAUAAUUAAGGCUGCAGAGAAAAAGAGAAUCCAUUCUCUAAAAAGGACCUUUCUUCCCUUUGUGUAGACUAAAGAAUGAAAACCUAUGACACUCUCCAUACUACAUCACCUAAGGAAGUCAUGGGAACCUGGGGUCUAGGACCUACAAGCUUACAAACAGCUUCCUAUUUUCAUGGUCAGAUGUAUCCACAUUGACUUCUGCGGUACACACUGCCUGGUCACAGAGGAGACUCUUCCUGCAGUUUCUCAGCAGAGUGAUAGACAUACAGGAAGAAGGGCACCAAGGACAAAGAUCUUCCUGAAAUGCUAAUAAAAUCACAAAAAUCAGAAAUAGCUGGGGCUAAUGGGGAGAAGGCAGAAAGGGCUUAAGAACGUAUGCCUCUCACUAACUCUCAAGCCACUCUCCCAGCAAGAUCAGAUUACCUUUCAAUGACACAAAGGCAGCCAUCAGUAGGCAGAAAAGACAGACCAUCAAAUGAGCUUUUCUGAAUGCUGAAUUUAUUUCACGUAAAGGACCGUGCUGAGUUUACAAACGGCAGCGCAGAGAAGCCAUUCCCCCUUCUUCUCCAGAGACUCACACAAGAGCAACCAGGAGAAUGAGCAACAGAAACAUCACGUCUCUGACAAAACUGGGGACAUCUGUGGCCCCAAACCCCAACAUAUGAGUAAGAACGGCCAAGGGCUGGAAAGGUCAAACGAGGGUGUGGGAACGUGAUGAAAGAGAAUGCCUCCUGUCACAGAUGUCAGACAGAGCAGGCCGCUCCACUUCUUCACAGAAAUUCUUCGCCCCCGAGGGGGCAAAACCAGCACGCUUUAUUUCAAACAGUGGGAACUGGUCCAGGGACUGGUGAUGAGGCUUCCUGAGGCUUCCUCAGGCCCUAUGUGGCCUAAAGAGUCACAUAGCAAAUUUGCAGGCUGUAGUCUAAUCAAUGAAGGAACUCUGGUGGUGCAGUGGUUAAAGCACUUGGCUGCUAACCAAAGGGUUGGUGGUUGAAACCCACCAGCCACUCUAUGGGAGAAAGAUGUGGCAGUCUGCUUCUAUAAAGAUUAUAGCCUUGGAAACCUGAUGGGGCAGUUCUCCUCUGUCCUAUAGGGUCAUGAUGAGUCGGAAUCAACAUGAUGGUAUCGGGUUUGUCUUUUUUUAGUCUAUCAAUGAGGUCAAGUGACAGAGAAAGAUUGCCUAGAGUGUCCCUACAAUGCCAAUCCCUGGUAGCUGAGGACUAGGUAGACUAGUAGCACUCAUUCAUACAGAGACUAAACUCCUGCUAAACCAGGCUCUAACCCCACAAGAAUUUUCUACAAAUUGCUAGACUAGGGAGAUAUCGUCUUAUUCAAGGAUGAACAAUAAUUUAAAAAGGAACCAACACAGGAGAUCCAGGAAGACAACCAGCAAAAAAGGUAGUUACAGGAAAAGCAAAUGGCAAAGAAAAUUCAUGGACAAAUGUUGCCGUGCAGUGCGUAACAAUGUAUUUCCUUGAGCUACAAAAGAAAAACAAACAAUGCAAUCACGUCUAUAAACAAAGUGUGUAAAGCAGAGAUACAGCACUUAGAAAAGAUAUGAGACAAUAAAAGUAGAUAAAACAUUUUUUUUUGGAGGCGGGGACAGUACUCAGAAAAGUGGAAGAGGAAAAUAAAACAACCAUACAAAUAAAAGUUACCUAGAAAAGACAUUGCCAAAAACCCAGUAAGGGAUAUGUGGUACAGUGAAUUACUUAAUAUGGCCCUUUUAGCUGUGCGUGCGUGGUCUUUUAACUCUCACACUGUGACUGGGUGGGGCUAUGCAAAUAAGGUGCUUGUGGCCCUCCGAGAGGACCGGACAGCUUGCUAAUAAUGGAAGUAAGGUGCAUGGAACCCUGUGGGGGUGGGACCAUGAAAAUAAGGUAUACGGAACCCUAAUUUUUUUAAUGAGGGGAUUGGUCAGUUUUGCCAACCUGCUAGGCUUAAAACACAGCCAAUCCCAGAGCAAAGCGGGGAGCUCACUAUCAUCAAGAAAGAACAGCCAGGAGCAGAGUGCGUCCUUUGGACCUGGGGUCCCUGGGCUGAGAACCUCCUAGAUCUAAGAGACAGAGGGAGCUGUAAUAACAGAGAUGAUGCGAGAUGGCAGGAAGCAGUGGCAGAGAAAUGGUAGCAGCAGAACCAAAAGACUUGCAUGAGAUGGCAUGGCAGGCUUCCCGGCCCGCAGAACAAUGUGGCUACAGAGGGCGUGCCAACCCAAGAAGACUGAGUGCCUUUGGGCAGGAGGCUUCCUGGCAGAGUGCGGUGCCUCUGGGCACUUGUCAAUAGAGCCAGGCUUGCUGACCCAUGAGGCAAGAGAGUUGAGUGCCUUCAGGCAGGAGGCUUCCUGGGAAGAGGAGGAUGCCCCGGGCACUUAUUGGUAGAGCUAAAGAGCUUUGUAACACUUGCCCAAGCAGGGCAGAGGCCAGGCAGAGGGGCCCAUGGACCACGGGAGAGGUCUGCCUGAGGGCAUGGCCAAAAAGCUAUCCUAACCGAAGAACUGUAUCCUGAGUCACUUCUGAUCCUGUUACAUCCCUAACAAACCCCAUAAUCAUGAGUAUUGUCUGUGAGUUCUGUGUGGCCACUGCAAUGAAUUAUCGAACCCAACAGAGAAGAAGGCAGUGCCACGGGAGGAAUGACUCAUGUCAGAGUUGGUGAAAAGGUUGGAGAAAGAAGGCAUGUCUGGCCUCUGCCUCUCAGUGACCAGCCUUGAGCUGAUAUUCAUUUCGAUUUUCUUGUCCCCCCUCUGAAAUAAGAUGAGGAAGUCUGGCCACGCUACACCAUGCCAUUUUUACAGGAUAUGUAGAACAGAAGUUAGGAUAUUGUGCAAAAUGAAAUGGAAAAAACCAAAUGGCUAAAAAGGAUUACAGAGAAAAAAAAAUAGAUUUGGAAAAUAAGGGGUCUCACUGCCAACAUAUAGAGUUCAGAGGAUAAGGAAGAACCACCAUAUGCAUUUUGGAGCCCUGGAGGUGCAGUGGUUAAGAGCUAUGGCGAGCUACGGCUGCCAACCAAAACAUCAGGGGUUCCAAUCUACCUGCUGCUCCUUGGAAACCCUAUGGGGGCAGUUCCACUCUGUCCUAUAGGGUUGCUAUGAGUCGGAACUGACUUGACAGCGAUGGGUAGAGGUACCAUAUACAUUACUAGUGCCCCAAAGGAAAAAAAAAAAAAAAAGGCAAGAAAACUUUACAGAAAUAAAGAUAACUCAAAUCUACGGAUUAAAAGCGUUCACUAUGUUUCAGAGAGAGUCCCUGAGCGGUGAAGUUUAAGUGCUCAAUUAGCUGAAAAGCUGGCAGUUUGAACCCACCCAGGGGCACCUAGAAAGACAGGCCUGGCAAUCUGCUUCCGAGAGGCUGCAGUCUUGAAAACUCUAUGAAGCAGCUCUACUCUGCACAUGUGGGGUCGCCAUGAGUCGAAAUGGACUUGAUGACAACUACCAACAACAUGCUUCCGAAAAAACUCAGUUAGCUCAGUUAACAAGACAUAUUCUAAUAAACUUACUGAGCUAAAAAAAAAAAAAAAGAAUAUUUGGGGCAUUCAGGCAAAACACAGGCUAGCCUCAACUUUUUCCAGUGCACAGUUCAUGAUAGAAGACAGCAGAGCACUGCCUAGAACGUCAUAAAGGAAAGAAAGGCUAACCUGGUAACUGCAUAUCCAGAAAAACUGCCAUUUGAAAAUAAAGAUAACUAAAUAUUUUUGAGUAUUUAGGGAAAAGAAAGAAAAAAAAAAGCUCUCUUACAGAGCAACUUCAUUUAUUAAUACUGAUAUAAAAAAUUAGUAUAUAGUAUUCAGCAGCGCAUGUAAAAAUAAUAUUCUAUGGCCAAGUAUGAUUCAUUCCAGAACUGCCAGGGUGAUUCAGUAAUAGGAAAUUAUUAAUUCAGUAUACUCCUAAAUAGACCAGAAGAGAAAAAUUCUAAUGACUGGAUCUUCAAAAAAGCUCAGAGGACAUUUGAUAUAAUUUAACUCCAUUCUUGGUAAAAACAAACCAACGAAAAAGCUCUUAGUUAGAAAGGACUCCUUAAGAUGAAAAAAGGUAUUUAUCUCACCCCACAAGCUAACAAUGAACAAGAAAAGAAUAUCCACUACCAUCAGCAUUAUUUAAUAUUGUCCUGGAGGUAGUAUUAGCCAAUAUAAUUAGUCUAGAGGAAAAAAAUAAAGAGAAAUAAAUAUGGGGAAAAGGAGGUAAAAAUCAUCAUUACUUACAGAUGCUUUAAUUAUUUACCUAAAAAACCCUAGAGGUUCUAUAUCUUGAAUGGGGUGAUGGUUACAUGACUACAUAUUACAUCAGUCAAAACUCACUGAAUGGCACAACUUGAAGAAUAUAAUCAAUGUCGCUGAAUUAAAAAUAUAGAAAUUGUUAAAUUGGUAUAUGCUCUGCUGUGUAUAUUCUCAACAACAAAAUUAUUAAAAAAAAAAAAACCCAACUCAC